AUUCACUUGGCUGUGUUUGGAAUUUUGGGGCUGUUCACAAGAUACCUAUUGCAGAAGCUUCUUGGUCCUGGCCUUGUUAAGCUCACAGGGGAAAUUUCAGCACUGUACCCUGAUCCCCUGCCUGUUAUUGCAUGCCUCAUUUCAGGUUCCUUCUUCAUGGCAUGGUUUGGUGUGAUAUUCAGGGCUGAUCUCCGUGAUAUAUCCGAUCAUUUGGUGAUUGGAUUAACUACAGGAUAUCUUGGAAGCCUUUCCACCUUUAGUGGAUUAAUUAUGAACAUGCUUGAUUUCUCAACAAGAGGCCAUUGGGUAUUCGCCAUCGGUUACAUAGUUCUCGGAUUGGCAGUCAUGAAUGAGAGCAUGCGAUACGGGUUAGAGACAGCAGAGGUGCUUCGCAAAUGUAUACUGAAUUGGCACAACAAAAGCUCUCAAAAAACCAAAGUUAUGCUUCAAAAACUUGAGAGUGAACACUUAUAAUCGACGUAUUUUAGUUCUGAUAUCGAUGAUAAUGAUCUACAUCACUUUAUGGAGCUUAAGUUGUGUAUUAGCGACGAGGAAGCUAGAUAGCGUCGCUAGUGGAGCUGUUCUUUGGUUAGGCUGUUUGGUUGGACCACCGGGCGUGUGGAUCCGAUGGUACCUUGCAAGACUAAAUGGCCGGGGAAUUGGAAGGAAGGGAAUCCUCAAAUGGCUUCCAACAGGAACAUUAAUUGUCAAUGUUCUUGCAUGUUGUAUCAUGGCAGCACUCUCAACAAUUACUAAAGAGGUGAACACAAAGAGAUGUCAGAUCAUUGCAAGAGGAAUUCAAUUUGGGUUUGUAGGCUCUUUAAGUACUAUUGCUGCUUUUGCUGCAGAAAUUUUUGCAAUGAGGCAGAAAUGGACACUUUUUGAGGGCUAAUGCUUACAUGCUACUUACUGUCAUUCCUUCUUUUGGACUUGGGACUCUGAUUUACUCUUUACCAGUUUGGUUGAAACAUUACAAUUUGUUGAAUUAAUCUCCAAAAACAA